rnacentral:rRNA from 1 species
AGUACAGACGAGUUUGAUCAUGGCUCAGAAUGAACGCUGGCGGCAGGCCUAACACAUGCAAGUCGAACGCACCUUUCGGGGUGAGUGGCGGACGGGUGAGUAACGCGUGGGAACGUGCCCUUUGCUACGGAAUAGUCCCGGGAAACUGGGGGUAAUACCGUAUGUGCCCUUCGGGGGAAAGAUUUAUCGGCAAAGGAUCGGCCCGCGUUGGAUUAGGUAGUUGGUGGGGUAAUGGCCUACCAAGCCGACGAUCCAUAGCUGGUUUGAGAGGAUGAUCAGCCACACUGGGACUGAGACACGGCCCAGACUCCUACGGGAGGCAGCAGUGGGGAAUCUUAGACAAUGGGGGAAACCCUGAUCUAGCCAUGCCGCGUGAUCGAUGAAGGCCUUAGGGUUGUAAAGAUCUUUCAGAUGGGAAGAUAAUGACGGUACCAUCAGAAGAAGCCCCGGCUAACUCCGUG